AACGCUGGCGGCGUGCCUAAUACAUGCAAGUCGAACGCGAGCACUUGUGCUCGAGUGGCGAACGGGUGAGUAAUACAUAAGUAACCUGCCCUAGACAGGGGGAUAACUAUUGGAAACGAUAGCUAAGACCGCAUAGGUACGGACACUGCAUGGUGACCGUAUUAAAAGUGCCUCAAAGCACUGGUAGAGGAUGGACUUAUGGCGCAUUAGCUGGUUGGCGGGGUAACGGCCCACCAAGGCGACGAUGCGUAGCCGACCUGAGAGGGUGACCGGCCACACUGGGACUGAGACACGGCCCAGACUCCUACGGGAGGCAGCAGUAGGGAAUUUUCGGCAAUGGGGGAAACCCUGACCGAGCAACGCCGCGUGAAGGAAGAAGGUUUUCGGAUUGUAAACUUCUGUUAUAAAGGAAGAACGGCGGCUACAGGAAAUGGUAGCCGAGUGACGGUACUUUAUUAGAAAGCCACGGCUAACUACGUGCCAGCAGCCGCGGUAAUACGUAGGUGGCAAGCGUUAUCCGGAAUUAUUGGGCGUAAAGAGGGAGCAGGCGGCAGCAAGGGUCUGUGGUGAAAGCCUGAAGCUUAACUUCAGUAAGCCAUAGAAACCAGGCAGCUAGAGUGCAGGAGAGGAUCGUGGAAUUCCAUGUGUAGCGGUGAAAUGCGUAGAUAUAUGGAGGAACACCAGUGGCGAAGGCGACGAUCUGGCCUGCAACUGACGCUCAGUCCCGAAAGCGUGGGGAGCAAAUAGGAUUAGAUACCCUAGUAGUCCACGCCGUAAACGAUGAGUACUAAGUGUUGGAUGUCAAAG
rnacentral:rRNA from 1 species